ACAGGUUGUGAGACACCACCUGCUCCUGCUGGGCGUUUUGCAUUGUUUGCUGAAAUACAGAACUUGAAGUAUCUACCUGCCCCUCCCACUCACCCCACCAGAGCUUCUAUUCUCUCACCCAGACCUCUCUGUUCCUCGUUGUAGAUGAACUUCCCCCCUACCCAAGACCCCUGCUGGUCAAAGUCCAGCUGUUGUGUAGGUCAAGCUGUCUCAUGGAACAGUCUUCAGUGACCUCUGCUACAUCUGCAGGACAUUGCCUUCCUGCAUCUCUGGUUCUUGACUCCCUAGCUUGGGGUUGGAUGGCUUGCGAGCCCCCGUUUCUCAGGUGUGAGCUACUGCCAGGUGGGGCCUAGUUGUGUGUGGUUCUGCUCUGGCUCCAGCCCAGCAUGGGUCCUUACAGAUCCCUGUGUUAUAUAUUCAAGGCUUUAUCUCUGUGAACUGCCACCCUUUUGCGGUAAGUCCUGAUAGUAACUAGGAUGUCUAGAUCACCACCGUGCUGAAGAGCAGUGAUUCACUUCAGCUUCGAGGAAGUGUGGGUAGUCUUUAACAGCUGGUUGUGGUGGGCAAAGGGAGCCUCCUUAGAGGUAUGUGGAAUGCGGUCAGGCAAGUCAGAAGAGGCCAGUGGCUGUGGCCUUGUGGGUCAUUUGCCAGUCUCAUACCCUGUUUGUUUGUUGCAGCUUCAGCAUUUCUUCUUACUUCCCACCCUUAUACUUGCCUUACGUUUGUCAGUUAGAAACUGUUUUUGCUCCAAGAUCUGGGAAAUUUGACUGGUGUAGUAUGCAUCUGAGGAACCUUGUUAAGCAGGGGAAGAUCCUUGGCUGAGGUGGUUUCUAAUGUUACUGUCUCACCAACAGAGCAGAGUCAUGGUCUCCCCCUUGGGAGUGCACUUCCCCUGUGAUGCAAUUUUGGGGGCAAAUCUCACGUCACCUUUUAUUUCAGUUGCCCCAGAUUUUUUGGGUGAGUGGGUGUUCUGGCUCUUUGCUUGGGCAUUCAGUGCUGGUUUGAUCGAAAAGCAGUGAGCUCGCUUAGCUUUGUCUUAGGGUUUUGUGGGGGUUUUUGUGUGUGUGUGUGUGAUUCUACAGAGAAGAGGUUGUCCUACAGGAGAGUGAGAGACUGUCUCCCGGGUAUCUGGAGAGAGAUGCAUACCUGAUACCUCCUGACUGAUCAGAGGUGUGAGCAAAGCAUGUUUGAUAAGCUUGACAAUGGCCAGAAGGUUGGUUUUAGGAGCUGCUGGGGAUUGGAGAGCACCAAAGCUCUGAGCCAAAAGUCCAAAGGUACUGACAAGCCCAGGAGCUGAGCUGAGACUUCUCAGUCUUAGCAAGGAGCUGCCUCAGUGAAGCCCCAGGUGAAAGGAUGGUUCCAAACCAUGGAGGGUUGUUUAUAUCGUGUAUGUGCUUUGAAUCCUUACUUGGUAGUGCAGAAUUGGGUUACAACUUACGUAAAACACAGAUUUCUAUGAGUCUGUACUGAUAGAAUUGAUAAAUAAAUAAAGGACAAGAUGCAAAUCUCCCAUGCAGAAUUCUACAUAAUUUAUGUAGAUACUCCCUUUCCUUAAGUGUGGGCUGUUAGCAGUGGCAUUUUUCUCAAUAGGAUGGUAAAGGAAGAGGGGGAGCACAGAGUAGAGACACCUGACAGACACAGUUUCAACCAGAUCAAGGUCUACCACACCAACAGUGAUUAGCCAGGUUGAUGGCAUAGAGAAACAAUGGCACUGUAAAAAUGUCUGCUCUCAUUAAAUUGAUCUACAAAUACGUGCAGUUGCGAUCAGAAUUACAGUGCGGUUUCUUUGAACACUAAACUGAGGUAUGACAAACCUGCAGGAUAAUGUUAUAGACCCUAAGUGCACAGCUCCUGAGUUUUCACAAAGUGGUCCCACCAAGGUCAAGAAACAGAAUAAAUGUUAUACCACCAGCCUUCCCAGAACCCUCUCCUGUGCCACUCCCACUACACUUUGCACAAAGAAGAAGAAAGGCAGAUUAAAACAGUGCCAUGUUUCAUGACUGGAUGGAGAGGUCUCAGUCAGCAUUGCUGCUGAUCGUGUUUGCAAAUAGUGGGAAAGGACUGUGAGCUUGUAAUGUGUCCCACUCCUAAGUGUGUGAACCCUCUGCCAGCAGUCCCACUUCUAGGAAGUGAUUAGGUCAAGGCCAGCCACUCUUGUGAGGAUGUAUAUCACAGCAGUGCUCAUGCUAGCAAAGGAGUGCCGUAGAGGGAAGAGCUGCUUCAGCUUCAGGUGGGAUUGUUCGGAAGUGAGGCUGAACAGGUACACAUGUGGCUGUGUGGCCCCAGUGGGGUGUUUGGACAUGUAACCCCCAUCUCAUAUCAGAGUUCUGUUGAGGUGGUAGGUAUAUGGGUGCCCCCACUUUCUAUUCUUUAUUUUUUUAAUUUGAAUAUUUAUCAGGAAUGCAUUUUUAUCUGAUCAGAAAAGACAACUUACAUAGUGAGGAAAGAUUAGUUUUAAACUGCUAUGAACCGCCCUGACCAAUGUGGCUCAGUUGGUCGGGCAUCGUCCCACAAAGUGAAGGUCGCUGGUUCUAUUGCCAAUCAGGGCACAUGCAUGGGCUGUAGGUUUGGUCCCCGGUCGUGGCACAUACAAGAGGCAACCAAUCAGUGUUUCUCUCCCUCUCAUCGCUAUGUCUAUUUCUGGCAACAGAAAUGUAACUCGUGUGUCUUAAGGCUUGGUUGUGCCCUGUUGUGAGUAGGCUCUAUUCCCAUCUGGUGGGAAGCCGUCUAGGAGCUGGCUUUGGCAAGGCCCAGAGAAGCCCUGGACUGAGGGAGUCCACCAGAAGGCGCUGCACCCUCUGCUUCUCUUCUGCUUCUUCCGCUAGGCCCCAUGAUAGUGUUCAGUGUGGGGGGCUCAGGAAUGCUGCUGGGGGACAGGGCUUUCCUCCUCCUCCUUUCUCCUGGGUGACGAGCUCCUGCUUACCCCUUGCCUGCAAGCUCCGAUGCAACCACCACCUGAGACACAGCAAAAUCUGGAUGUCACAUGUCCUUUAUGUGUGGCUCAUUAGCACAGAGCUCCUGCUGCCGUCAGUGCUUUCCUGUCAGGAGUCUCACCAGCCUGCAGCUCAAGAAGGAUCUCCACUGCAGCCUGGUGUGUUCACCAGGCCCCAGACCUUCCUCAGUCUGAGUCCCAUUGACCCUCUGAUAGAUCCUGGGCAGAGAAGCACAUUGAUGCUUGGUGCUGCCAGCUUCUUCCUCCACUAUAACAGGACAGCAUCGUAUAAUGAACCCUUCUGCAUAUAAGAAGCAAGUUAGCUGCUUUUUUAAUCUUUCAGAAAGUUUUAUCAGGAAAAGUUCAGACAUUGGAGAAGUUAAGUUGUUAGAAUAGCACAGCAGCCACUUGUAUACCCUUCACUUGAAUUUACCAGUAGAAGCGAAGAGAAUUAGAUGCUUUUUUUUUUUUUGUAGAGGCUGGUGUCACUGUAGCUUGCAUGGCUCUCAUGCAGUACGCAGUGGAAAAUGUUGGAGAAGUGGCUAAGGAAUCAGAAAAUCACUCAGGCAGUACCAACGGGGCAUUUGCUCAUGUCAACAAGGGUUUCGCCCAGUGGUGGGUGAAUGCAUUGCCAACUCUGGGUGGAGUGUGUGGUGAGCGGGCCUCAGCUGCUCAUCUGGCUGCCCUGGGCUUGGGUGCCUUACCUGUUACAUUGUCAUCUCUCAAGAGAGGUGCUGUGCUAGCUUAGUAAGAAAUUUUUGUCUGUAGUCAUGGAAGGAUCUGCGUAUCCACAUGGUGCCAGGCACAAGAAUGGGUGCUGGAUACACAGUGGUGAUAGGGUUGGAGCAGGGCAGCUAAUGAAGUUCAUUGAAUAGAAAUCAUCUUCUUGGUGUGUUGGGGGGGCGGGUGACUGCGGACAGGGACAGAUGGUGAGGAGUGGAACUGGGAGGGUUGGGCCGGACCCCUCUGCGGUCGAGGUAGGGAUGUGGGCAUCUGGGUGGUCUUGGCAAGAGUCUCAGGAUAACAGAGCCCCUUGUUGUAUGUGAAAGCAUUCCUUUAGUUCCAUGGAGGAGCAAGGCAGGGUAUACAGCAUCCUUUUUUUAAUUUAUAAUAUUUUAAAUUGUAUAGUUUUUACUGUACAGUUCUACAAGGUUUUUUAUUUACAAGCUGUUUUAAAAAAAAACAAACCAGGCUUUAUUUUUAGAGACACUUUAGGUUUACAGGAAAAUUGAAUAUUGAGUACACUGGUUUCCUGUAUGUCCUUUUCCUCUGCACGUGUUCUCAUUAUGAGCAUCUAGUAUUAAGUGAUAAGCUUGUUAGAAUUGAUAAACCAGUAUUGAUGCAUUAUUAUUAGCUAAAGUCUAUCAACUGAUGGUUGUUGAUGCCAAUUCAACACCAUCAGGAUUCCCUAAUUUGGGGUGUGGUGAAGAGGAGACUUUGUUCAGUGCAAAACAGCUCAAUUGUGAUACUGCAAGGCUGCAGCUUUGAAGAAGCCCCGGGGACAGGCCCCUGUCCAUCUAGACAGCUCUGCCCUGCGCCUUGGUGGACUGCUUUGUACUACCUGGUCUGCUCCAUUGUGCGUUAGUCUGUUUUGUUUUGUGCCACUCUGCUCUGGCCUGGGCUGGUCUGCUCCAUCUCUUUGUCUUUCAGCUUAGCCAGGGAAACAGUCUUCAGUCUUCAGUAGAAAAAGUUAACCCUCAGAACCAGAAGAGAGCAGGCUUGUUUGUUCAGAAGUUUCCUCCCUGGUCCCUGAUUGGUCUUUUCCUCAUGUAAAUGAGGACUCCAAAGUUUUGCAAUUUGAUUGAUCCAAAAGGCACUGUCCUGAUUGAUCAGAAUAGAGCAGCUCUGGUUGUUUGGAGCUACACAGCUCUGAUUGGAUGGGUAAAGCUUCAGUCCUAUUGGUUAAAGUAGGAUUCCAGGAAUUUCUUAAGGGCCAGUUCAGAUGGCAGAAACACAGUGCGGGUAGGCAGGCAGUUUUGUGCAGAGGCAGGCCAUUCAGUGCAGACUUCUCCCUGAGGUGCAGUUUGCAUGCGAAGCCCAUGUGUAAAAAUGUCUGCUAGGCUCUGUGGUUUUGUGGGUUUGUGUUUUUUGUUUGUUUGUUUGUUUGUGUGGGGUUUUUUUUGCUUGUUUGUUUGUUUGCCCAGUUAGGUAAGGUACCAGGAGCCCUUUUUAGUAGGUAUCUUCUCUCUCAGGGUUCAUAAGACCAUGGUUUACUUGGGGUUCACUCUUGGUAUUGUACAUUCUGUGGGUUUCAACAAAUGCACAACACCCUGUACCCACUGUUACAGGAUCCUGCAGUUUUGCUGCCCUGGAAAUACCCUGUACUCCAUCGAUUUAUUCCCUUCCUCAGGGCCUGGCAGCCUCUGAUUUUGUACUGUCUUCAUAGUUACCUUUCCCAAGAAAGUCAAAGAAUUAGAAUCAUACAGCAGGUAGCUUCUUCAGACCAGCUUCUUUCAUUUACUGCUCUUGAGUUUUCACAAAUGCAUAGAGUUGUGUACCACCACAGUCAAGAUAUGGAAUGGUUCGGUCACCCCCAGGUUCCCUUGUACUGUCCCACUGUAUCAUCCCCUCCCCCAUGCCCAGCCGCAGCAACCAUGGAGCUGCUCUCCGCCCCCUGUAGUUCUGCCUUCCCCAGAGUGGCAGCCAAACAGGAUAAUUAUGUAGCCUUCUGAGGUCAGUGUCUUCCACUCUGCAGUAUACACUUGGAUGUCCAUCUAUGUAGUUGUGUGUAUCUGUUGAUGCCUUUUCGUGCAGAUUAGUGUCUGUGUCUGGUGGCUGUUCUGUGGUCUGUUUAUCCACUCCCCAGU